GAUGAACGCUGGCGGCGUGCCUAAUACAUGCAAGUCGAGCGAACAGACGAGGAGCUUGCUCCUCUGACGUUAGCGGCGGACGGGUGAGUAACACGUGGAUAACCUACCUAUAAGACUGGGAUAACUUCGGGAAACCGGAGCUAAUACCGGAUAAUAUAUUGAACCGCAUGGUUCAAUAGUGAAAGACGGUUUUGCUGUCACUUAUAGAUGGAUCCGCGCUGCAUUAGCUAGUUGGUAAGGUAACGGCUUACCAAGGCGACGAUGCGUAGCCGACCUGAGAGGGUGAUCGGCCACACUGGAACUGAGACACGGUCCAGACUCCUACGGGAGGCAGCAGUAGGGAAUCUUCCGCAAUGGGCGAAAGCCUGACGGAGCAACGCCGCGUGAGUGAUGAAGGCCUUCGGAUCGUAAAGCUCUGUAAUUAGGGAAGAACAGAUGUGUAAGUAAAUGUGCACGUCUUGACGGUACCUAAUCAGAAAGCCCCGGCUAACUACGUG
rnacentral:rRNA from 1 species